GUUAAGGUGGCAGAGCCCGGUACUGCAAAAGUUCUAAACCCUUCCUACAAAGGUUCAAAUCCUUUCCUUAACU
rnacentral:tRNA from 1 species